GCAACGACGCGCGGCUAGGGACUUGCGCUGAUGGCACAGCAGCAGCAGCAGUAGUAGGCAGUAGUAGUAGGCAGUGCUGCGGCAGAUACAGUCACCCCUCUACCACUACCACAGCAGACGGAGACUCGAGCCUUGCGACGCUCUCUCCUGUUAUACCCAGCAGCAGUUCGCUCUAUCUAUAUCUCUCGCACGGACGCAAGCGUCUGCUGUGCGCUGCUUCUCUCUCGCGUGCCCGGUGAACUUUUUGCCAUUUCUCGGGGCCUCCUUAUUCUCCUCUCCUACUCUCUCUUCCUCUCUCUCUCCAUGGCAUGGGCGGCCAUCUAUUCUCGCUUCGAACGACACUCAGGUGUGAGACUACCGUCCCGGGAGCCUCUUUACAUAUAAACAGUGCGUUGUGAGACUCUCGACUGCUCGAGACGUUGCAAGAGGAUCCCUGUCUCUGUACCCAUUGACAACCUAUAUACCCAGUGCGCGUAAUACUAUACCAAUCCGAACGGUUUAAAUGCCGAUCGUUGUUUGUCGCUAAAGUGUCGUGUCCAUUGAGGAAAUAAAUGAAAAAACAGUGCGCGAAGCUGCGAGGACUAUAAUAAUAAAAUAUACACACGAUAUAAAACUGUUCGCGUGAGACGCGAGAGUGAGAUCGAAAAGAAAAACAGUGUUGAUCGUUCAUCGCGUAAUACGAGACGCGCUCGAAUUUUUUGUUAUUGUUGUGUCCGUUGCUGUUGGUUUUCUCGAGUGCGUAAGCGAACGGCCUCACGACGCGUUCCGACGAGUGGAACAGUCUGCUGCCCAGCUCCACGUUGGUGGGCGCUGGGGGCACGCCAUGGCUCGGCCUCGGCGCAGCGGCGGCGGGUGCCGGAGGCACGGGGACCAGCGCGGGCGCGGGCAGCCCCGUCGAGCUCGAGGGCCACUGGGGCCGCAAGCUCUACGGGGCCAGCGUGGCGCCGCCCCCGCCCGCCACGCACCACCAUCAUCCGCGCACGCCACUGGUGUUCGCGCCCCAGGACAUGAGGCAGAUCCUGAAGGAGGAGCCCGUACCCAGGGCCUGGCCACAGCCGACGCUCGCCGACAAUAACGGAACGGUGCUUGGCAGGGCGCACUUUGAAAAGCAGCCACCGAGCAAUUUGAGAAAGAGCAAUUUUUUUCACUUCGUCAUUGCCCUGUACGAUCGCUUGGGUCAACCAAUUGAGAUCGAGAGGACGGCGUUCAUUGGAUUUGUAGAAAAAGAUCAGGAAACAGAUGGCCAAAAGACCAACAAUGGGAUACAAUACAGGCUGCAGCUUCUUUACUCAAACGGUGUCAGACAGGAACAGGACAUAUUUGUUAGACUCAUUGAUUCAGUCACCAAACAGGCUAUCAUGUACGAGGGACAGGACAAGAAUCCGGAGAUGUGUCGCGUUCUUCUGACGCACGAAGUCAUGUGCAGCCGAUGCUGCGACAAGAAGAGCUGCGGCAACAGAAACGAGACGCCUAGCGAUCCUGUCAUCAUCGAUCGGUUUUUCCUAAAAUUCUUCCUCAAGUGCAAUCAAAACUGCUUGAAGAACGCCGGAAACCCCAGGGACAUGCGAAGAUUUCAGGUCAUCAUCAACACUGCGGUGACGGUCGAUGGACCAAUGCUGGCCAUCUCUGACAACAUGUUCGUACACAACAACAGCAAACACGGCCGCCGAGCGAAGCGGCUGGAUCCGAGCGAUCCGUCGGAAUACAAUGCGGGGCUGUAUCCACCCCUGCAAAUGGCUUCGCCCUGCAUAAAGGCCAUGUCGCCGAGCGAGGGUUGGACAUCGGGCGGCUCGACCGUCGUCAUAAUUGGCGAUAACUUCUUCGACGGGCUUCAAGUCGUCUUCGGCACCGUGCUGGUCUGGAGCGAGCUAAUUACGCCACACGCGAUGAGGGUUCAGACGCCACCCAGACAGAUACCCGGCGUCGUGGAGGUCAUAUUGUCGUACAAGGGCAAGCAGUUCUGCAAGGGAGCACCGGGACGCUUCGUAUACGUGUCACUGACAGAGCCGACGAUCGCCUACGGCUUCGAGCGCCUCCAGAAGGCCAUACCGCGCCAUCCGGGCGACCCCGACAAGCUGCCCAAGGAGAUCAUACUGAAGCGCGCUGCUGACCUAGCCGAGGCUCUGUACGGCGUGGGCGGCCGCGGUCCGGUGCCACCGCCGCGCAGUCCGGGCUCGAACGUCGGCCACUCCUCGGCGGUGCAGUCGCAGCCGCCGACCUCGACGACCUCCGGGGCGACGGCCUUCAACUCGUACUCGGGCCAGCUCGCCGUGACCGUGCAGGAGAACGGCGCGUCAUCCAAAUGGACCGACGGUUCGUUUAACAAUAACUUUUGUUACGGCACGCAGCAGUCGGCCCAGAAUGCACCGGGUAGCGCUGGCGGCGGCGGCAGCUCGGGUGGCAACACCAGCAACAGCAGCAACGGGAGCGCCGGUGCGCCACCUGCCGAGGCGUAUCAUCGCCAGAGCAGCAGCGCCAGUCCCCGGGGCCACAACAACAGCAACAACAGCAACAACGGAGGCUCCAACGGCUACUGCGGAGGUGGUGGCGGUGGCGGUGGUGGCUCGGCCGCGAGCACGCCCCACAGCCACAGCGCCAGCAGCUACUCCGUGGGCAGCAAUCCGUACGCGGGCAGCCCGACCCUCUACACGUCUCCGCACGAACAGUACGGGAUUUUCUAUACGUCCGAAGGUAGCAGCGCAUUCGCACCUGUAGUCCGACCGCCGACUACCUCGGUCCCGCCGCACUGGUCAACUCAGCACCAUCUGGCUGCGGCGGCUCAAUAAACAAACAAAUUCAAUCGAUAACUAUUAGCUUAUCGUUAAUCUAAUCUCGCAAAAAAAAGAAAAAAAAUUAAAAAAAAAAAAAAGAAAAGAAAUUACGAAAAGCAAUAGUUAUUAAAUCUCUCCCGUCGCCUGCAUUGCAUUGCCUUCACUGCUCGUGCACAGCUGCUUGAUGUUUAUGAUGACAUUGGGUAUGUUGCAGGGCUAAGCGACUUCGUCGUCGGCUCGUCGCCCUUCAACAUGAGUCAUCAUCACCAUCAUCAUCAUCAUCAUCAUCCUUCUCAUCAUCAUCCAUUUAUGCUGCCGCCGAGUUGCAACAACAACAGCGGUGGCAGCGGCUACGACUCGGGCAGCCUCAACGGCAGUCCCCAGCAGCUGCUGUCGCCCAACAGCAGCGUUGGCAGUGCCGGCGGCAAGUAGCCGUCACAGCUACGAGAGUAAAUUGUAUAAAGACAGAAUUAAAACAAAACGAAAAAGAGUUAAA
rnacentral:misc_RNA from 1 species